rnacentral:rRNA from 1 species
CCAAUAGCGUAUAUUAAAGUUGUUGCAGUUAAAAAGCUCGUAGUUGAAUUUCGGGGUCAGUAGGUUGGUCGUGCCACUGGUAUGUACUGGUCUCACUGAUUCCUCCUUCCUGAUGAGCUGUAAUGCCAUUAAUUUGGUGUUGCAGGGAAUCUGGACUGUUACUUUGAAAAAAUUAGAGUGUUUAAAGCAGGCUAACGCUUGAAUACAUUAGCAUGGAAUAAUGAAAUAGGACGUUCGAUCCUUUUUUGUUGGUUUCUAGGAUUGACGUAAUGAUUAAUAGGGAUAGUUGGGGGCAUUAGUAUUCAAUUGUCAGAGGUGAAAUUCUUGGAUUUAUUGAAGACUAACUACUGCGAAAGCAUUUGCCAAGGAUGUUUUCAUUAAUCAAGAACGAAAGUUAGGGGAUCGAAGACGAUCAGAUACCGUCGUAGUCUUAACCAUAAACUAUGCCGACUAGGGAUCGGAUGAUGUUAAUUUUUUAAUGACUCAUUCGGCGCCUUACG